UGGAAAAAAAAUAUGCGUAUCGGUAAGUUUUUUUCAAAUUGUGCGAAAAAUAAAAAAAUUCACGAUUCUAAUUACUGCAACCGUUACACUACGGCCUUUACACCUUGCAACCUCAACUGCGUCACCGUUACCGUUACGACGACCGCAACCGCUUUUCAGAACCUUGAUCUGACCUGUCUAGUGGUAACAGCUGGUGCUUAAUUUGGUGAUAGAAUCCACUACAAGUCAACACCAUAAUAGAAUAAAGAAAGAGAAUCACAAAGUUUAAAAGUACAAAGAGAAAACCAUUAUGAAUAUUUCAUUCUGUUUUAUCAUAUGUUUUGCAGCUCAAAUAAGAAUCAAUGGUGGGACAUAGAUUGGGAGAGACUUUGUGUGAAAAAGCUCAAUCUCCAACCAGUGAUGGAUAUACAAACAAAAAAUUUAUAUAAAAAUUUUGUAUAGAAUAAUGUGGUCUAUUGUGAAAUUUUUAUUUUAAAACAAAACAACAAAACACCUAAGAAAAUGUCCUUUAUUUAUUAAAAAAAUAGAAGAUAUUGCCAUAUUAUUUUUAUUUAUCAAAAAAAAAAAAAAAUUUUUAUAUUAAUUUUUGUAUAAAUUGUUGAAUGUCAAAGUGACAUCAUCAUCAACUUGCAUGGAAUUUGAUAAAAGUGAAGAUUUUGUUAGAUACCUUUUGAUAAAUAAAAUGCUUUAUUUUAUUUUUUUAUUUUUUUUUGUAUUCUUGUAAAAAAGUUGUUUAUAAUUUUGUUCAUGUUUGGUGCCACUUAUAAAAGGUGUUUAUAAUUUUUUAAAUUUUAUUUUAGGAAGUCUUAAAAAUAACUUAGAUAAACUGAAAAGAAUUGAUUUUUGAGAAACUGAAAGAGAAGUACUUUUAAUUUCUUUGUUUUAAUUAUUAAUUCAACUUGCAAAAAACUGCCCAAACAUGACCUUUCUAAGGUACUUAUUACCGCAAUUCCAGCUAACUUAACCAAGUGGUGGUGAGAUCAAUUUGCUACAUUAUAAGCAACGUAGUUUGAUUGUGAUUCUCUCCAUUGCAUAUUUGUAAUGAAGAGGUUCCAUUACAUCAUUCAAUGAUGAGGGCCUUCUCGAAAAAAUGUGGCUAGUACUAGUGUUGAGUGGUAUUCGGAGCUUAUGGUUAUCGCUUAUUGGUCAUCUCACAAGAGAUCAUUUUUCAAUCUCGUUAUGCUCAAUGGAUUACGGCAAAAGACCAAGACUCAAAGAACAGAGGAAAAAGAGCAACUUGUGAAGAGCACAGGUUGGACAUCCAAUAAGUGGCCACAGCAGGACUACAGAGAGCACUAUUUGUACCUUAUG